AUUGAACGCUGGCGGCAGGCCUAACACAUGCAAGUCGAGCGGAUGAAGGGAGCUUGCUCCUGGAUUCAGCGGCGGACGGGUGUGUAAUGCCUAGGAAUCUGCCUGGUAGUGGGGGAUAACGUCCGCAAACGGGCGCUAAUACCGCAUACGUCCUGCGGGUGAAAGUGGGGGAUCUUCGGACCUCACGCUAUCUGAUGAGCCUAGGUCGGAUUAGCUAGUUGGUGGGGUAAAGGCCUACCAAGGCGACGAUCCGUGACUGGUCUGAGAGGAUGAUCAGUCACACUGGAACUGAGACACGGUCCAGACUCCUACGGGAGGCAGCAGUGGGGAAUAGUGGACAAUAGGCGAAAGCCUGAUCCAGCCAUGCCGCGUGUGUGAAGAAGGUCUUCGGAUUGUAAAGCACUUUAAGUGGGGAGGAAGGGCAGUAAGUUAAUACCUUGCUGUUUUGACGGUACCAACAGAAUAAGCACCGGCUAACUUCGUG
rnacentral:rRNA from 1 species